ACUCCUACGGGAGGCAGCAGUGGGGAAUAUUGGACAAUGGGCGCAAGCCUGAUCCAGCCAUGCCGCGUGAGUGAUGAAGGCCCUAGGGUUGUAAAGCUCUUUCACCGGUGAAGAUAAUGACGGUAACCGGAGAAGAAGCCCCGGCUAACUUCGUGCCAGCAGCCGCGGUAAUACGAAGGGGACUAGCGUUGUUCGGAUUUACUGGGCGUAAAGCGCACGUAGGCGGACUAUUAAGUCAGGGGUGAAAUCCCGGGGCUCAACCCCGGAACUGCCUUUGAUACUGGUAGUCUUGAGUUCGAGAGAGGUGAGUGGAAUUCCGAGUGUAGAGGUGAAAGUCGUAGAUAUUCGGAGGAACACCAGUGGCGAAGGCGGCUCACUGGCUCGAUACUGACGCUGAGGUGCGAAAGCGUGGGGAGCAAACAGGAUUAGAUACCCGAGUAGUCCCAUGAU
rnacentral:rRNA from 1 species